GCCUGCCUGGAAUCGGGCAGCUGGCCAGGGACAAGCCAGCGGGGCAGGAAGAGAGGGGAGGGGGACAAGCCCAGGCUCUGACAGGGAAGAGAAUUCACUGUUUAACAGCCAUCAGACAGAAGAAGGAGAGCAAGAGGGUGUGCUUGCGCCUGCACGUGUGUGAGCCCGACUUUGUGCCUUUGCAGAUUCAUCCGCGUUGACCGCCCGCCCGCGAGGCUGACAAAGGAACCUGGAAGAGCAACAUACUUAAGGGAAAACAGACAAACUCUUCACCACGGUCAUCCUUCUCAGGAGAGAGCAUGGCCCGGAGUUCCAGUGGGUAGGGAACGGCUGUGCUACGGAUUCACCAGCUCCCGACGUGUCUACUCCAGACUCAGGAUCGGCAGGGAGGCCUCAUUCCAGAGCUGAGGAGCUGCACUGAGAAGAAAGGAACCUGAACCCUCAGAAUUCACACCUGGAGAACUCUAGAAGGAAAUCUCAAUCCCCAGCACCCUCCAUAGCUGACAGAGAGUGAAGGUCUUCUUAUAGCACUGGUCUAGAGAUGGGAGUCAAAGUUUUGAGGCCUGGCUAUGCUGUGACCAACUCUCAGCCUCAAGCUACUUCCUCCCCCAUCUGCACGGGGUGGGGCUCAUCAUGAAGACCUCUGGGAGACCAGCACCCUGACGUCACAAGGACGCACAUCAGGCAAGCAGCCCUUCAUUUGAAAACCUUUGUGCAUUUGGUCUUCAAAAUGAAGCCAUCCAGAGCGUGUACAUAUCCGUUUCAGUCAUCCAUAGUUCUCAUUAAGAAUGUCCAAGGGGCGCCUGUGUGGCUCAGUGGGUUAAAGCCUCUGCCUUCAGCUUGGGUCAUGGUCCCGGGGUCCUGGGAUCAAGCCCGACAUUGGACUCUGUGUUCUGUGGGGAGCCUGCUUCCUACUCUCUCUCUCUGCUUACACCUCUGCCUGCUUGUGAUCUCUGUCAAAUAAGUAAAUAAAUAAAUCUAAAAAAAACAAAAAAAAGAAUGUCCAACCAAUAAAUCACUUAUGGCCUGACCCUUUGAGAUUAUUAUUAGUUGCCAUUUCAUA